AAAAAGGUCUGGCCCUCUGACCUCAUUAAAGAGCGUCUCUGAAGAGUCAACGCAGCUCCAAAUUUCCCUAUAGGACCAGCUCAACCUUUUGUUUCUAUUGCUGAGCCUAGUGGAGUCCUUUUCCUCCAGGGGCCACACAGAUGGUCCGGAUGGGCUCAGAGAUGGCCCUCACAGCAGCCGAGCUGGCCAUGCAGAAUGGAAAAUGCUGCAGAUCCUCAUUCAUGCGUCUGGCUCUCACGUGUACAUUCUACAGCCACAUAACCAAAUCAGGACAAGAAGAAUAAAGGCCUACUACCCUCAAACAAAUAAGGCAACAAACAAGGAAAACAAUCAUAAUAGCUUUUCCCUUGUCAGCCUGAGUCAACUCUCCCUGUCAUUUUGAAUUGGCUUCUACAACCUUCUCCGCUUAACCCUUAACAAGGCUCUCUACCCUUUCUCUCCACAGUGCCUUUAUCUCUUAAAACAAGCAGAGGACUUAGUGGGAUGUAUCUUAGGAGGUACCUUUCAACAUCUCAUAUUUUUUUUUGCCCUGAAAUAUGAUAGGUGUUAAAAACUGCCUGAAGAAUGUGAGCUCCAACCAGAACUGUAGAUAUUGUGGCAGUGAACUCUUCAUUUCACAAGUCUCCUACGACAGCAAGUAUGCAAUAAAAAUAGCUAAUAAUUCCAUACAUUAUCCUUCCAUCUAACUUUUAUUUGUUCCACAAAAAGUUGUACUUUAAAAAAAAGAAAUGUAGUAAACAGUACAGAUAAUGCUAAGAAGGUUCCAAUACAAUGAACAGAAGUGAAAAUAUAGUCUCUGGAAUGAUUUAUAAGGACAAUUUUCUAAUCAACAUUACUCCGAACAAAAAGAUGGCAACUUAGAGAUGAAAGAAAGAGCUUUCUGCUCAAAAGUAUUUUUUUAAUCCAGUUCCUGAUGCUUGAACUUCUUUUACUUCUUGAAAUUGUUUAAUCAAGGGAUAUGAUACAACCAUUAACAUCCAUAGCUUUAUGACUACAGAUGAAAUAGGUGAAACUUUUUGGCCAGUAAAUAACAGUUGUAAACAUUCCUUAUCCCCUCUUUCUUGAAAAGAGUAUUCUCAUAUUCUAAUAGUGGGUUGGAGGAAUAACUAGAGAAAAAAUUAAAAUGAAUGUAGAAACAAUGUGUUUGAAAGCAGAGAGGUAAAAGAAGAAGAAAACCAAAUCAAAAUAAAAUAAACACCAAAUAGACACAGUAAAACAAGCAUCUUUUUUUCCUCUGGGACCAGAUUGGGCAAUUCUCCAUGUAAAAGCAAAUACUUGUAUAAGUAGACCAUUUGCAUUCCAACCAUUCCAAUUUCAGUGUAUUGCUAGUCACAUGCUCAAAAAGCCUCAGAGUGACUAUAUAGUCAUUUUCUUACAAUUCUUGUUCAUCUUCUAAAAAAUGAAGACUGUAACGCUCAUAAAUCCCUUUGGGAUCUGCAGAUGAAAGCACUAUGUAGCUGUUAAGUAGUAAUAAUAUCUAUUAGCAGAGGAUCAUUUACAUAGCAUAGAAUCAUUUACAUCAAACACUCUGAAUUUUUUUUAAUGCUCAACUGCUCAAAAUGAAUAUAAUAAGAAAAAAUAGAAACCUCCAGUACAAAUGGUAGUUUUCAUAAUUUUGUAUUUGAAUGCUGGAUACAUUGUCAAAAAAAAACAAAUGUACCAACCAUACUUCUCUUCCAAAGGUUUAUUAUGGAAUGUGAGCUGCCUUAGAAUUUAUGAAAACUGUACCUUACUUUUUGGAGGUUUAUAUAUAUAUUAUUUUUGUGUUUUCCUAACAAUAGGU
rnacentral:lncRNA from 1 species